GGCGAAAAAGAACAGCCAGCUCAGCAAGUAAGUGGUGGGUGGUCGCUCUCCAUCGUUGUCGUUCGGGGCAAAGAAGAAGAGAAUAGGAGUUCUUGGCUCCGGCGACCAGGAGGAGGAGACGAGAGGUAGGUGGAGUGUAGUGGUGGGUAGAGAGGAGAAGGAUAGAUAGGUCGCGUGGGGCGCGGGCGCUUGAGCGGCGGGGCACGAGGCCUAGGCCGGCUAGGGCGCGGCGAGUAGGAGCGCGCGGAGACGAGCGGAACUGGCACUCCUCCUCCGGUCGCCGCCGUGUGGGGGUCCGUAGACGUAGGGAGAAAGAGUAGGGCAUGUAGGUGCCUAUGAGUAGAGCAAGAUACGAACAUCCGGCUACACUUAGGUCAGCGACUGUGCGGCAACGUCUGGUGGUCUAGGCCUCACGGCGGCGACCUAGGACAAGCGUAGUGCGGUGCGGCAACGUCUGGUGGUCUAUGCCUCAAGGCGGCGACCUAGGACAAGCGCAGUGCGGGCGCAGUUGCGCCGACAGUCUUGUGAGAGAGGAAGAGCUCCUGAGGCCAAGAGAAGCAACGGAAGGGUAGUACUACCCAAUAAAGAAAAAACGGAGACUAAGAGCACUCUUGGGCUCCCUGAGCGGGCGCCUAGAAAGAAGUGAGGAGUAACAAGAGAGAGUACAUAAACGUCAUACAAACAACAAAAAACUCUUCAGACUAAUUAUAAUGCCUAUUAGACGUUAACAUAUAUUUGCUUACUCUUAGUCAAAUCUCCUCGCUACACACUG
rnacentral:rRNA from 1 species